GACGAACGCUGGCGGCGUGCUUAACACAUGCAAGUCGAACGGACAGGCCCUGCUUUUGUUGGGUGCUCGAGUGGCGAACGGGUGUGUAACACGUGAGUAACCUGCCCCUGACUUUGGGAUAACUUCAGGAAACUGGGGCUCAUACCGGAUAGGAGCUCCUGCUGCAUGGUGGGGGUUGGAAAGUUUCGGCGGUUGGGGAUGGACUCGCGGCUUAUCAGCUUGCUGGUGGGGUAGUGGCUUACCAAGGCUUUGACGGGUAGCCGGCCUGAGAGGGUGACAGGCCACAUUGGGAUUGAGAUACGGCCCAGACUGCUACGGGAGGCAGCAGUGGGGAAUAUUGGACAAAGGGCGGAAGCCUGAUGCAGCAACGCCGCGUGCGGGAUGACGGCCUUCGGGUUGUAAACCGCUUUCGCCUGUGACGAAGCGUGAGUGACGGUAAUGGGUAAAGAAGCACCGGCUAACUACGUG
rnacentral:rRNA from 1 species